rnacentral:rRNA from 1 species
CCCUUAGAUGUUCUGGGCCGCACGCGCGCUACACUGAUGCGUUCAACGAGUAUACAACCUUGAUCGAUAGGUCUGGGUAAUCUUGUGAAUGCGCAUCGUGCUAGGGAUAGAUUGUUGCAAUUUUCAAUCUUGAACGAGGAAUUCCUAGUAAACGCAAGUCAUCAGCUUGCAUUGAUUACGUCCCUGCCCUUUGUACACACCGCCCGUCGCACCUACCGAUUGAAUGGUCCGGUGAAAUCUUCGGAUUGAGACUUUGAUUUCUUCACGGAAAACGCUGUUUUAAGAAGUUGAUUAAACCUUACCAUUUAGAGGAAGGUGAAGUCGUAACA